rnacentral:misc_RNA from 1 species
GAUGAAGAACCAGCGAAAUGCGAUAAGUAGUGUGAAUUGCAGAAUUCAGUGAAUCAUCGAAUCUUUGAACGCACAUUGCGCCCCUUGGUAUUCCAUGGGGCAUGCCUGUUCGAGCGUCAUUUGUACCUUCAAGCUUUGCUUGGUGUUGGGUGUUUGUCUCGCCUUUGCGUGUAGACUCGCCUUAAAAUAAUUGGCAGCCGGCGUAUUGAUUUCGGAGCGCAGUACAUCUCGCGCUUUGCACUCAUAACGACAGCGUCCAAAAGUACAUUUUACACUCUUGACCUCGGAUCAGGUAGGGAUACCCGCUGAACUUAAGCAUAUCAAUAAGCGGAGGA